AGUGUGAUGUUUUUAGGAAAUAUACCAAAGUAUCUAACAAUCUGAUUGAUAUUACACACAUACACUAUCAGAACAUAUUAGAGUGACACU